rnacentral:rRNA from 1 species
GAUGAACGCUCGCUGUGUGCCUAAUACAUGCAUGUUGAACGGGAUGUAGCAAUACAUUCAGUAGCGAAUGGGUGAGUAACACGUACCUAACCUACCUUUAAGACUGGGAUAACUAUUGGAAACAAUAGCUAAUACCGGAUAUAGUUAUUUAUCGCAUGAUGAGUAAUAGAAAGGAGCUUCACAGCUUCACUUAAAAAUGGGGGUGCGGAACAUUAGUUAGUUGGUAGGGUAAUGGCCUACCAAGACGAUGAUGUUUAGCCGGGCCGAGAGGCUGUACGGCCACACUGGGACUGAGAUACGGCCCAGACUCCUACGGGAGGCAGCAGUAAGGGAUUUUCCACAAUGAGCGAAAGCUUGAUGGAGCGACACAGCGUGCAGGAUGAAGUUCUUCGGAAUGUAAACUGCUGUUAUAAGGGAAGAAAAAAUAGAAUAGGAAAUGAUUUUAUCUUGACGGUACCUUAUUAGAAAGCGACGGCAAACUAUGUGCCAGCAGCUGCGGUAAUACAUAGGUCGCAAGCGUUAUCCGGAAUUAUUGGGCGUAAAGCGUCCGUAGGUUUUUUGCUAAGUCUGGAGUUAAAUGCUGAAGCUCAACUUCAGUCCGCUUUGGAUACUGGCAAAAUAGAAUUAUAAAGAGGUUAGCGGAAUUCCUAGUGAAGCGGUGGAAUGCGUAGAUAUUAGGAAGAACACCAAUAGGCGAAGGCAGCUAACUGGUUAUAUAUUGACACUAAGGGACGAAAGCGUGGGGAGCAAACAGG